rnacentral:rRNA from 1 species
CCCUUAGAUGUUCGGGGCCGCACGCGCGCUACACUGAAGGACUCAGCGUGUCUCUCCCCCUAUCCCGAAAGGGAUGGGCAACCCGUUGAACCUCCUUCGUGCUAGGGAUUGGGGUUUGCAAUUAUCCCCCAUGAACGAGGAAUUCCCAGUAAGCGCGAGUCAUCAGCUCGCGUUGAUUACGUCCCUGCCCUUUGUACACACCGCCCGUCGCUACUACCGAUUGGAUGGUUUAGUGAGACCCUCGGGUCGGUCCCGACUCGGGGUGGGCUUCUGCCCCGGUCGUGGUUUCGCCGAGAAGACGGUCAAACUUGACUAUCUAGAGGAAGUAAAAGGCGUAACA